ensembl:snRNA Gm22868 U1 spliceosomal RNA
AUACUUACCUGGCAAGGGAGGGGGCAUGAACAUGAAGGUAAUUUUCCCAGGGCAAGGCUUAUCCAUUGCACUUCGGGUAUGCUGAUCCCUAAGAUUUCCCCAAAUGUGGGAAAGUUGACUGCAUAACUUAUGAUAGGGGACACUGAGAUUGUGCUCUCCCCUG